UUACGUCUGGACGUCCAGCUUGGAAGGGUAGGCUUGUGCUCAGGGUCAAGGAACAGCAAGACCCGGAAACCCCUCCUGCCCCAACGUGGGACUCCCACCGCCUGUCUCUGAGCCCGGCCAGUGGGUAAACCUGGGAAAGGCCUAAGUCUCAGCAUCUCUGGAACAAAGCAUCUCUUUUGUGGCAGAAGGCGGGGACAAGAGUCCCAUCUCAGAGGGACCACCCUUAUCAGAGCUUCAGAACAGAUGCAGAAAAACCCAGAAAGGAGCAGGUUGUGAUUCGCUCCAAGAUUCUGAGCCACUCUCACACCAUGUUCAUCACACGUGGCAUCUAGAGCUUAUUCUUCACAGUUCUCUGCAUUCUCUCAGGAGCAGCAGAAAAUGAACAUAUCUCAGGCUCCGGACAUGCAGGCUCAGAGGCCAUGACUCAUGGGCCUAGCCGCUCUGCAGCAUGUGGGAUCUUCACAGACCGGGUCAUGAACCCGUGUCCCCUGCAUCGGCAGGUGGACUCUCAACCACUGCGCCACCAGGGAAGCCCUAUUUCAAUACUUUUUAUUGCUGAGCAGCAUUCCAUUAUAUGAAUGUAUGAUGGUAUGCUCAUUCUCUUGCUGGUUUUUCAUUUGUGUUUUUUCCAGUUUGGAACUAUUAUGAAUAAAGCUGCU